GUCGUAACAAGGUUUCCGUAGGUGAACCUGCGGAAGGAUCAUUACCACACCUCUUUUUAUCAGUAUAACUAAUGAAGCUUUCGGGUUUCAUCAAGUGUAUUGACAAAAAAACAAGAGAAAGAUGCGAGAAUGUAAAAAACUCUCAAGUCUGACUUUUGCGUCCCACGGAAUUAAAUAUUUUAUACUUGUGUUAAUAUGUCUUCGGAUAUGUUAACACAUUUAUAAUACACCAAAAUAACAUUUCAUAUGUUGAUCUGAUUAUGAUAUUCAAUAAUUAGGAGUCAAUUCGUUUAUUCGACUUGAUGACUAUAAAAAAUUAAUGAAAAAACACUUUCAGCAACGGAUGUCUUGGCUCCCAU
rnacentral:misc_RNA from 1 species